rnacentral:rRNA from 1 species
CUUGGUGAUGAUAGCUGAGGGUGAACCACCUGAUUCCAUUCCGAACUCAGAAGUGAAAACCUCGUAGCGCUGAUUGUACUGCAUUAUUUUUAUGUGGGAGAGUAAGUAAUCGCCAAGC